rnacentral:rRNA from 1 species
UACGAGGGGGGCGAGCGUUGUUCGGAAUUAUUGGGCGUAAAGGGUGCGUAGGCGGUUUGGUAAGUCUUGUGUGAAAUCUACAGGCUCAACUUGUAGUCUGCACGAGAAACUGCCGGGCUUGAGUGUGGGAGAGGUGAGUGGAAUUCCUGGUGUAGCGGUGAAAUGCGCAGAUAUCAGGAGGAACACCGGUGGCGAAGGCGGAUCUCUGGGCCAUUACUGACGCUGAGGAGCGAAAGCGUGGGGAGCGAACAGG